UACGUAGGUGGCAAGCGUUAUCCGGAAUUAUUGGGCGUAAAGAGCGCGCAGGUGGUUGAUUAAGUCUGAUGUGAAAGCCCACGGCUUAACCGUGGAGGGUCAUUGGAAACUGGUAAACUUGAGUGCAGAAGAGGGAAGUGGAAUUCCAUGUGUAGCGGUGAAAUGCGUAGAGAUAUGGAGGAACACCAGUGGCGGAGGCGGCUUCCUGGACUGUAACUGACACUGAGGCGCGAAAGCGUGGGGAGCAAACAGG
rnacentral:rRNA from 1 species